rnacentral:rRNA from 1 species
GGCUUAACACAUGCAAGUCGAGGGGCAGCAUGGUCUUAGCUUGCUAAGGCCGAUGGCGACCGGCGCACGGGUGAGUAACACGUAUCCAACCUGCCGUCUACUCUUGGACAGCCUUCUGAAAGGAAGAUUAAUACAAGAUGGCAUCAUGAGUCCGCAUGUUCACAUGAUUAAAGGUAUUCCGGUAGACGAUGGGGAUGCGUUCCAUUAGAUAGUAGGCGGGGUAACGGCCCACCUAGUCUUCGAUGGAUAGGGGUUCUGAGAGGAAGGUCCCCCACAUUGGAACUGAGACACGGUCCAAACUCCUACGGGAGGCAGCAGUGAGGAAUAUUGGUCAAUGGGCGAGAGCCUGAACCAGCCAAGUAGCGUGAAGGAUGACUGCCCUAUGGGUUGUAAACUUCUUUUAUAAAGGAAUAAAGUCGGGUAUGGAUACCCGUUUGCAUGUACUUUAUGAAUAAGGAUCGGCUAACUCCGUGCCAGCAGCCGCGGUAAUACGGAGGAUCCGAGCGUUAUCCGGAUUUAUUGGGUUUAAAGGGAGCGUAGAUGGAUGUUUAAGUCAGUUGUGAAAGUUUGCGGCUCAACCGUAAAAUUGCAGUUGAUACUGGAUAUCUUGAGUGCAGUUGAGGCAGGCGGAAUUCGUGGUGUAGCGGUGAAAUGCUUAGAUAUCACGAAGAACUCCGAUUGCGAAGGCAGCCUGCUAAGCUGCAACUGACAUUGAGGCUCGAAAGUGUGGGUAUCAAACAGGAUUAGAUACCCUGGUAGUCCACACGGUAAACGAUGAAUACUCGCUGUUUGCGAUAUACAGCAAGCGGCCAAGCGAAAGCGUUAAGUAUUCCACCUGGGGAGUACGCCGGCAACGGUGAAACUCAAAGGAAUUGACGGGGGCCCGCACAAGCGGAGGAACAUGUGGUUUAAUUCGAUGAUACGCGAGGAACCUUACCCGGGCUUAAAUUGCAGAUGAAUUACGGUGAAAGCCGUAAGCCGCAAGGCAUCUGUGAAGGUGCUGCAUGGUUGUCGUCAGCUCGUGCCGUGAGGUGUCGGCUUAAGUGCCAUAACGAGCGCAACCCUUGUUGUCAGUUACUAACAGGUUCCGCUGAGGACUCUGACAAGACUGCCAUCGUAAGAUGUGAGGAAGGUGGGGAUGACGUCAAAUCAGCACGGCCCUUACGUCCGGGGCUACACGCGUGUUACAAUGGGGGGGUACAGAGGGCCGCUACCACGCGAGUGGAUGCCAAUCCCAAAAACCUCUCUCAGUUCGGACUGGAGUCUGCAACCCGACUCCACGAAGCUGGAUUCGCUAGUAAUCGCGCAUCAGCCACGGCGCGGUGAAUACGUUCCCGGGCCUUGUACACACCGCCCGUCAAGCCAUGGGAGCCGGGGGUACCUGAAGUGCGUAACCGCGAGGAGCGCCCUAGGGUAAAACUGGUGACUGGGGCUAAGUCAUA